rnacentral:rRNA from 1 species
UACGUAGGGGGCAAGCGUUGUCCGGAAUUAUUGGGCGUAAAGAGCGUGUAGGCGGUCCGGUCAGUCAGCUGUGAAAGUCAAGGGCUCAACCCUUGAAAGCCGGUUGAUACUGUCGGGCUAGAGUCCGGAAGAGGCGAGUGGAAUUCCCGGUGUAGCGGUGAAAUGCGCAGAUAUCGGGAGGAACACCAAUGGCGAAGGCAGCUCGCUGGGACGGUACUGACGCUGAGACGCGAAAGCGUGGGGAGCAAACAGG